rnacentral:rRNA from 1 species
GAAAGAUGAAAAGAACUUUGAAAAGAGAGUUAAACAGUACGUGAAAUUGUUGAAAGGGAAACGAUUGAAGCCAGUCGUACCUUCGGGUAAUCAGCCUUUCGGGUGCGAUUCUGUGGAGUUUGAGGAGCUAAACACCUUCAUGCUUUGCAUAUUCGUGCUCUUGGGUGUACUUGCUCGUAUGGUUGGUUAACAUCAAUUUUGGUGGUCAUAAAAUGACUGGAGGAAUGUAGCUUCGGUCUCGUAUUGAAGUGUUAUA